rnacentral:rRNA from 1 species
CCUACGAGAUGGGGAUAACUAUUAGAAAUAGUAGCUAAUACCGAAUAAAGUCAAUUGAGUUGUCAAUUGAUGAAAGGAAGCCUUUAAAGCUUCGCUUGUAGAUGAGUCUGCGUCUUAUUAGCUAGUUGGUAGGGUAAGGGCCUACCAAGGCUAUGAUAAGUAACCGGCCUGAGAGGGUGAUCGGUCACACUGGAACUGAGAUACGGUCCAGACUCCUACGGGAGGCAGCAGCUAAGAAUCUUCCGCAAUGGGCGAAAGCCUGACGGAGCGACACUGCGUGAACGAAGAAGGUCGAAAGAUUGUAAAGUUCUUUUAUAAAUGAGGAAUAAACUUUGU